UGUUGAACUUUACCAACGGCCUUUUCUGU
rnacentral:piRNA from 1 species